UACGUAGGGUGCAAGCGUUAUCCGGAAUUAUUGGGCGUAAAGAGCUCGUAGGCGGUUUGUCACGUCUGCUGUGAAAACUGGAGGCUCAACCCCGAGCCUGCAGUGGGUACGGGCAGACUAGAGUGCGGUAGGGGAGAUUGGAAUUCCUGGUGUAGCGGUGGAAUGCGCAGAUAUCAGGAGGAACACCGGUGGCGAAGGCAGAUCUCUGGGCCGAAACUGACGCUGAGGAGCGAAAGCGUGGGGAGCGAACAGG
rnacentral:rRNA from 1 species